rnacentral:misc_RNA from 1 species
ACCCCAUCCCCCGCGCCCAAAGCGAUAUCGUCACGCCGCUGAUCUGGCGGAAAGAUGAAGUCUCGCCGCCCGUGCUGGCGCUGCGUACGCUCAUGGCCUCGGUCGGCACAGCCCCGAAGCGACGCGUUAAGCAGAACGCCUAAGCCGGCUGACCCGGACGCCUGCCUGAGGCUUUGCAACGCAAGCACCUCGCGUGAUAAGCGAA